rnacentral:misc_RNA from 1 species
UUAGAUGUUCUGUCAAACUGCUAGUGUA